GAACAUCUUGCUUGGCAUAAUAGCAGUGUAGCACACAGGGUCCAACUAAGUACUGUUGGUGAUUUCCUCUUCCCCCAGCAACUUGCAAGGCAACUUCUGACACCAUGGAAUCUGGAAAGCAGCGAGAAAUCUCCAGGAUAAUGACGCUGGGUGAAAUAUAAGAAAACAAGACCAGAAAAAAGAUCUGCCCUGCAAUCGGAAAAUCCGAGUUAAAGUCAAGUUAUAUGACAUCAUGCGUCUACUAGCCCCUCCCUUGAUCUCAGUCGCUUCAUCUGCAAAUUGGAAAAAUAAUCAUUUCCCCACUUACGUCAUGUUGCUGUGGUGAGGUUUGACGAAAUGAAAAAGCAAGAAGUAUGCAGCAGCUAAUCAAAACACCAGAGACUCUUCUCACCAACAGGCCAACAAUACCUCAGCUAAAUACAGACCAUGCAGAUCCUCCUAAACGAACAUUGUGUUUGCAUCUUGAUAAACCCACAGGAAAUAGAAAAUGCCUUCAGUAUAUUUAGCCUUCAGAAACUUCUACCUGAGCCUAGCCUGCUUUCAACAUGCCUACAGUAUGACUAUUAGUCUAAGUUGUGUGAUAUCAAC